GACGAACGCUGGCGGCGUGCUUAACACAUGCAAGUCGAACGGAAAGGCCCUGCUUUUGUGGGGUGCUCGAGUGGCGAACGGGUGAGUAACACGUGAGUAACCUGCCCUUGACUUUGGGAUAACUUCAGGAAACUGGGGCUAAUACCGGAUAGGAGCUCCUGCUGCAUGGUGGGGGUUGGAAAGUUUCGGCGGUUGGGGAUGGACUCGCGGCUGAUCAGCUUGUUGGUGGGGUAGUGGCUUACCAAGGCUUUGGCGGGUAGCCGGCCUGAGAGGGUGACCGGCCACAUUGGGACUGAGAUACGGACCAGAAUCGUACGGGAGGCGGCAGUGGGGAAUAUUGCACAAUGGGCGGAAGCCUGAUGCAGCAAUGCCGCGUGCGGGAUGACGGCUUUCGGGUUGUAAACCGCUUUCGCCUGUGACGAAGCGUGAGUGACGGUAAUGGGUAAAGAAGCACCGGCUAACUACGUG
rnacentral:rRNA from 1 species